UCUGGCGCCAGUAGCGCGGUGGUCCCACCUGACCCCAUGCCGAACUCAGAAGUGAAACGCCGUAGCGCCGAUGGUAGUGUGGGGUCUCCCCAUGCGAGAGUAGGGAACUGCCAGAC
rnacentral:rRNA from 1 species